CAGGAUCCAUGGUGCAUCUCAGCAGAUCCCUCCCUCCCUGUGGUUGAGAGUGAGUUUGAGAGCCACUUGCUGGGUCCUGGGGCAAGUGACAGUUCUCUUGUGUCCUCUGUGAGACGGGGAUGAGGACAGUGUGGACUUCAGAGAGCUUCUCUGAGGAUUAAUGAGCUAGUUCAGGUGAUGCACUCAGCACUUGCCUGGCACACAGGAAGUGCCCAGUAAAUGCUUGCCCUUGUCGUCAGCGCAGCAGAAACCAAGUUGACCUGCUGGCUUAGAGAGUUCUCGGUCAGCAGACUCAGAUUCACAAGCAGCAUCUGCCUUGGAGCCUCCCCUUAGCCUGACACACUCAAAUGCCGAAUUUGAUCCAAGGUAGGUUCACCUUGGACUUGGCUUUUGAAGGUUUUGUUACCAGGGGAACUCAAUUCCCUGAUUGCACGGGUAACAGAAGCACCAAGAAGAGGGCAACUUCGGGAGGGCCCAGAGGACAGUACUGCAGAGGGAGACUCCACGUUCUUGCACUAGAGCAUCUUCCGGCGUAUUCGGAGGAAGGCAGGAAACGUCCACCUCCCAGGCGAUGCGUUAGUUCUUAGUGUCACUUCUUUCCCUCGGUGGUAGCGGGAAAAUGUCACUUUGCCAUCCUUUGGAGGAGGGAUGCAGAUCCCCGGCUGCAGACCUUUUUCACCCCCUUUUCCCACCGUGGGAGGACUGGGACCUCGGUUCUUCUCAACAGCUGUUUUCAGUUUUUCACCGUGAAUUGUGGGUAAACAGCCUCCUGUAUCAGAUAAAGGCUCUAUCAGCUCAGCAGCUCACCUCCUACAUACACCCUCUUUCUCAUGAAUACAAGUCUGCCUUAGGAUUCUGGAGGCUGAAAGUCCAAGAUCAAGAUGCCAGACGAUUCAGUUUCUUGUGAGGACCCACGUCCUGGCUUGUAAAGGGCCGACUUCUUGCUGUGCUCACGUGGCUGCUCCUCAGUUUCUUUCUGUCUUCUUCUUCUAAGGCCACUUAUCGCAUCAUAAGAGCCCCAUCCUCAUGACCUGAUGUAACCCUAGUUACCUCCCAAACAUUCCGUCUCCAAAUGCCAUCACAGCGGGGAUGAGGGCUCCAGUGUAUGAAUUUUAGGGGGAGACACAAACAUUCAGUUCUUUAACAUUGGCUUUUCCUUCAGAGAUGCUGUUCCAGAGAGGAAGCCGGGGCUGCAGUGCCACGAUGCUAAGACAUCUGGAAAAUGCUCUCAAAAACACAAGCCACUCUGGUAAUUCUCUUCAUUCAUUCAGCAAACAUGUACAUAACAUGCGGAAAAUAAAGUCAAACCACGUGUGUUGAAGUUCGUAUCAGAAUACGUAUCGCUGAAAAAAGCUGAAGAUGAGAGGCAGGGCCACUGAAAGACCCUCAGGAAGGUCCUGGAGCUGAACUGACACAGACCCCCUCAGGGAGACAGAUAGGGACCCUGCUAGCCACCCACUUCUGGAGGCUUCUGAGAUUGCUGCUGCAAUAACUUUAUCAUCAAGACCAUGUGCAUUUCAAGUCACAAAGGACAGCAUCCUGGAGCGGGCUCACCGAGUCAGAGGAAACGUGUGAUUAAACUGUAGCAGGCACUGCCAGAUAGCUUCUCAAGAGGAUCCUGCAAUUCACACUCCUUCAGAAUGAUCUCCAGCUCCAAGACCAGAGGGUGAUAAUUUCUCAGGGAAAGCCUUUUCUCGAUUUCAUUUCACUUUUAAGUAAAACAUGUGAAAUUACUUACUAAACUCUAAAGCGAUUACGGCUCAGAUGUCAGCUGGUGAUGACUCGCUCCUUAAGUUCUAAGUCAUAGUGCUUCCCAUCCCCCUUCUACAGAUUUUCCCAAGUCAGUGCCCAGCCAGGGUUUCUGGAAGUUCCUGGAGGGAGAGGGGAGGCGUUUGCAGUUGUAGGGUCUCCUCUGACUCCUCCCUCUGGGUGACCCUGAAAUCCUUCCAUUCUGGGUCAUCUUGUAAUCCCACACAUGCUACUGUUCUCAUGCCAGAUGACCCCAUAUUGG
ensembl:lncRNA